ACCCGACUAGCUCAAACGGUAGAGCAUGAGAUUCUUGAUCUCAGAGUCGUGGGUUCAAGCCCCACGUUGGGUG